GGUUUGCCUUUUGGCUUACC
rnacentral:snRNA from 1 species